GAGAGUGGCAGACGGGUGAGUAACGCGUGGGAAUCUACCUAGUUCUGCGGAACAACAGUUGGAAACGACUGCUAAUACCGCAUACGCCCUACGGGGGAAAGAUUUAUCGGAAUUAGAUGAGCCCGCGUAAGAUUAGCUAGUUGGUGAGGUAAAGGCUCACCAAGGCUACGAUCAGUAGCUGGUCUGAGAGGAUGACCAGCCACAUUGGGACUGAGACACGGCCCAAACUCCUACGGGAGGCAGCAGUGGGGAAUCUUGCGCAAUGGGCGAAAGCCUGACGCAGCCAUGCCGCGUGAAUGAUGAAGGUCUUAGGAUUGUAAAAUUCUUUCACCGGGGACGAUAAUGACGGUACCCGGAGAAGAAGCCCCGGCUAACUUCGUGCCAGCAGCCGCGGUAAUACGAAGGGGGCUAGCGUUGCUCGGAAUUACUGGGCGUAAAGGGAGCGUAGGCGG
rnacentral:rRNA from 1 species